AGUAAUUCAAUAACGUUGUGUCUGGGAAGAGGGAGGGGGAAUCUACGAUUUAACUAUCACAAAGGCAAAUGAAAAUUUUGCUAACAAGUUAUGUCCACGAUUUAGUGCAACAGCACAAGUACCUUUUUCGAACACAUGGUACUAACUUCAAACCAAAAGGCCAUCGUUCAAAAUUUCAUGUUUCUUUUUCCAAUUUUCAGAGGGCGAAUUACCCGGACAAGCUAUAGCUGUUUGUAUUCACCGCUAUAAUAAUGACCUCAAACAUUUAAAGGUAAAAUGUCUUGACAAUCUGAAAAGUCCAAAUUAUACAACUAAGCCCGUAGAUUUAUCGUAAAUGUACAGAUUUAUCAUAAAUGUCGCGAUUUUAUCCACCUAAUCUAUUCAUAUGUCUUUCUUGCAGAACUACCAACACAAAGGGAUUAAAGAGGUAAUUCAAUGGCUUCCAAAAAUAACAUAGCAUUUCAAAUCGCGAAUGGCCAGUAAUAUUAAAAUGCAGUUACAUUUUGGGUCAUGCCUAUGGUAGAUUAGAGGAAAUUAGAAAGGCCAUCAACAAUUACAAAAUUUUUA